AUUGAACGCUGGCGGCAGGCCUAACACAUGCAAGUCGAACGGUAACAGGAAGAAGCUUGCUUCUUUGCUGACGAGUGGCGGACGGGUGAGUAAUGUCUGGGAAACUGCCUGAUGGAGGGGGAUAACUACUGGAAACGGUAGCUAAUACCGCAUAACGUCGCAAGACCAAAGAGGGGGACCUUCGGGCCUCUUGCCAUCGGAUGUGCCCAGAUGGGAUUAGCUAGUAGGUGGGGUAACGGCUCACCUAGGCGACGAUCCCUAGCUGGUCUGAGAGGAUGACCAGCCACACUGGAACUGAGACACGGUCCAGACUCCUACGGGAGGCAGCAGUGGGGAAUAUUGCACAAUGGGCGCAAGCCUGAUGCAGCCAUGCCGCGUGUAUGAAGAAGGCCUUCGGGUUUUAAAGUACUUUCAGCGGGGAGGAAGGGAGUAAAGUUAAUACCUUUGCUCAUUGACGUUACCCGCAGAAGAAGCACCGGCUAACUCCGUG
rnacentral:rRNA from 1 species